GAUGAACGCUAGCUACAGGCUUAACACAUGCAAGUCGCGGGGUCUGUUUCGGCAGACGACCGGCGCACGGGUGAGUAACGCGUAUCCAACCUGCCCCUCUCUUUGGCAUAGCCUUUCGAAAGAGAGAUUAAUUCCGAAUAACGUAGUAACGUUGCCUGAUGAUACUACGAAAGCUCCGGCGGAGAGGGAUGGGGAUGCGUUCCAUUAGGUAGUAGGCGGGGUAACGGCCCACCUAGCCGACGAUGGAUAGGGGUUCUGAGAGGAAGGUCCCCCACAUUGGAACUGAGACACGGUCCAAACUCCUACGGGAGGCAGCAGUGGGGAAUAUUGCGCAAUGGGGGGAACCCUGACGCAGCAACGCCGCGUGAAGGAAGAAGGUCUUCGGAUUGUAAACUUUUGUCUUAUGGGAAGAUAAUGACGGUACCAUAGGAGGAAGCUCCGGCUAACUACGUG
rnacentral:rRNA from 1 species